rnacentral:misc_RNA from 1 species
GAUGAAGAACGUAGUGAAAUGCGAUACUUGGUGUGAAUUGCAGAAUCCCGUGAACCAUCGAGUCUUUGAACGCAAGUUGCGCCCGAAGCCAUUAGGCCGAGGGCACGCCUGCCUGGGCGUCACACGUCGUUGCCCCCCCAUCUACUCCUUCGGGAUUGCGGGGGGCGGAUGAUGGCCUCCCGUGCGCCUCGUCGCGCGGUUGGCAUAAAUGCCAAGUCCCCGGCGACGCACGCCACGACAAUCGGUGGUUGCGAAACCUCGGUUGCCCGUCGUGUGCGGUCGUCGCGCAUCGAGGGCUCGAAAAAAUUGCCGGGCUCCGGCUCGGCUUUCAACGCGACCCCAGGUCAGGCGGGGUUACCCGCUGAAUUUAAGCAUAUCAAUAAGCGGAGGA